AAAUUGCGGUCACCUUUCGCCCGCAAAUGCCUUGACGGCGGGCGUUGUUCUCGCGGUUCGUUUUUUCGGGAUGAGCGCGGCGCUGCAAAAAUUGACUUCUUCUUUUUGGCACAUUGCUUUGCAACCGCAGCCAGCAAGCAGUGAGCUAAGCUCAGAGAUAGGAGGCCGGCCGUACCGAAGAGGAAUUAAAAACGCGAUUUUUGCCAAUCUCCCUGUCCAAAAGCAGUGAAAUUUUAUCGGGAAUCGCAAGAAAACCGAUCGUGCGUUGCCGUGUUCGCGAAAAACAGUGCGGAAAGUAUCGACCAGCCGUUUUCCCGUCGAGGUGAAUCUCGUUCAGCAGCCCCGCAGAGGAUAUCCCAGGUGGAAGUCCUUUUUUCUUCGCCGCGAGUGUGGUGUGGAUCUGUCUGGAAGCAAGAAAAGAGGCACAGAACAGAGCGAAGGAGCUAGAAGAACGAAAAAGCGAAGCGAUUCAUCGUUCAUCGCGCUGUGCGUGUGUGAAAAUUGUGGAAAAGGUUUUUAAUUGCGUUCGGGAAAAGUGUGAAAAGAGUGCGGAUUGUUGGCGUUUUUUGGUGGCCGUGAUAGGUGCCGUCCAAGUUCCGACAAAAUGCAGAUCGUCCAAAUCCUCGAGAAGACCGUGUCACCAGACAAAGAUGAGCUGCUGGCAGCUAAGAACUUCCUGGAGCAAGCGGCCGCAACCAACCUGCCCGGCUUCAUUCGAGCCCUGUCCGAUGUGCUGGUGUUUGCCGGUAACUCCGCGGUGGCCCGUAUGGCCGCCGGUUUGCAGCUAAAGAAUCAGCUCACCAGCAAGGAUGCAGCCAUAAAGUUCCAGUACCAGGAAAGGUGGCUCUCCUUCCCGGAGGAUAUGCGAGAGUAUGUUAAAAAGAAUAUCGUCGCAUCUCUCGGAACGGAAAGCACCCGCCCUUCAUCUGCAGCACAGUGCGUCGCUUAUGUGGCCGUGGCUGAACUUCCCGUAGGACAGUGGCCUGAUUUGAUACAAAAGCUGGUGGACAAUGUAGUCAACGACAAGUCCACGGAAAUGCAACGGGAGGCCACCCUGGAAGCCAUCGGUUACAUCUGUCAGGAUAUCAAUUCAGAAAUCCUCGAGCAUCAGUCGAAUCAGAUCUUGACGGCAAUUAUCCAUGGAAUGCGAAAGUCGGAACCGUCGAACCAUGUCCGGUUGGCCGCUACCAAUGCUUUGCUCAACUCGUUGGAAUUCACAAAGGCCAACUUCGAGGAAGCGACGGAGAGGAACUACAUCAUGGAAGUUGUCUGCGAAGCGACUCAGUGCAGCGACACUCAGAUCUGUGUGGCCGCUCUUCAGUGUUUGGUAAAGAUUCUCACCCUCUACUAUCAGCACAUGGAAGCAUACAUGGCUCAGGCUCUGUUUCCGAUCACCCUGGAAGCGAUGAAGUCCGACAACGAGCAAAUAGCCCUACAGGGUAUCGAGUUCUGGUCCAAUGUAAGCGAUGAGGAAAUCGAUCUGGCCAUCGAAGCCCAGGAAGCGGCCGAAGCAGGACGACCUCCAAAUCGAGUGUCCCGUCAUUAUGCCCGUGGAGCCCUGCAAUUUCUCGCUCCGGUGCUGAUGGAGAAGCUCACACGACAGGAAGAGUUCGACGACGAAGACGAUUGGAACCCGUCCAAGUCGGCCGGAGUGUGUUUGAUGCUGUUGGCCACCUGCUGUGAAGAUGAGAUCGUUCCCUAUGUCUUGCCGUUCGUCAACAAUAACAUCAAGAGUACGAACUGGCGCUACCGGGACGCUGCUCUGAUGGUGUUUGGAUCGAUUCUCAGCGGACUGGAAGCAAACACGUUGAAGCCUCUAGUCGAACAAGCCAUGCCUACGCUAAUCGAACUGAUGUACGAUCAGAGCGUGAUUGUGAGGGACACCUGUGCAUGGACCUUCGGCAGGAUAUGUGAGGUCAUUCCAGAAGCCGCCAUCAACGAGCAGUAUCUGGAGCCACUUCUGAAGGCUCUGCUGAACGGCUUGAAGGCAGAACCCCGUGUAGCUACCAAUGUUUGCUGGGCAUUCACUGGUCUAUCGGAAGCCGCCUAUGAUGCGGCCAACGUUGUUGACGACCCACCGCAGACGUACUGCCUUUCGCAGUAUUUCGAUUUCAUCAUAAGCAACCUGCUGGAAACGACCGAUCGUCAUGACGGUGGCCAGGCCAACCUACGCUCGUCCGCUUACGAAGCCCUUAUGGAGAUGAUCAAGAACUCGCCGCAGGAUUGCUACGUUUCGGUGCAAAAGACGACGAUGGUCAUUUUGGAGCGGCUCAACCAAGUUCUUCAGAUGGAAUCGCACAUUUCCACCCACUCGGAUCGGCAUCAGUUCAACGAUUUGCAGUCGCUGUUGUGUGCCACGUUGCAGUCGGUCCUACGGAAGGUCGAUGCCAAGGACGCUCCUCAGAUCUCAGACGCCAUCAUGACCGCUCUGUUGACGAUGUUCAGUUCGAGCUCGGGCAAAGUAGGCGGCGUGCAGGAGGAUGCUUUGAUGGCAGUGUCUACUUUGGUUGAUCUACUUGGAGAGGGUUUCAUCAAGUACAUGGACGCUUUCAAGGAAUAUCUGUACAUGGGUCUGAAGAAUCACCAGGAGUAUCAGGUUUGCUGCACGGCGGUCGGACUGGCCGGCGACAUUUGCCGAGGACUGAAAAACAAAAUUCUUCCAUACUGUGACGAAAUCAUGACAUUGCUCCUAGAAAAUCUUAGCAAUCCUUCGAUCCAUCGAAGUGUAAAACCACAGAUUUUAUCCGUAUUUGGCGAUAUGGCGCUAAGCAUUGGUCCGGACUUUAAGAAAUACCUGAACAUUGUCCUGCAAAUGUUGACGCAUGCGACGCAAGUACAGAUCGAUCCGAACGAUUACGACAUGAUUGACUACCUGAAUGAGCUGCGCGAGAGCGUCCUGGAAGCGUACACCGGAAUCGUCCAAGGUCUCAAAGGAGUGGACAAAUCUCCUAACGAUGACGUCAAUCUCCUCCAGCCACACGUACACUUCAUCAUCAAUUACGUCAUCUCGAUUGCCAAGGACAGUGAACUUUCGGACGGUAACAUUGCCAUCGCGUCCGGUCUCAUCGGUGAUAUGUGCUCGGCUUUCGGACCCCCACUGUUGCAGCUGGUGGAAGACGUCCACAUCCAGCAGCUACUGGCCGAGGGCAAGAACUCCCGGACGGGUCGCACCAAGACGCUCGCCAACUGGGCACUGAAGGAAAUUAAAAAGCUAAAGCAGCCGGCAAACGACGCGAGUUGGCGACUCAAAUGAACUGGUAGUUGAGAGUUGUAAACAUAUUAGGAGAAGUGGAAUGCUGAGUUAAUCGGGUGUGCGUUUGAUUGAGGAAAUGUCUGUGUGAUCGAGAUGCAAAUGGAACGAGUGAUCCAGUGAAAAAGAAUUAAUCGAGAGAUGGAAAACGGAUUUGGACGGUGCGAAUCAGCUCUUUAAUUGUAGGAUUUGGUUCGGAAGCAUCAACGGUAACACGCUCAACUACACAUCAGCCAACGGUUCCAGCGGCGGCCCCAACAGUAGCAGCACAGUCCCAGCAAUGUAAUCCUGCCCAGCUCACAUCCGCCGCCGCGACUUCGAUGAUGAUUCACCAGGACCAAGAUGAACCCUUCCGAUGCAACUACUACUACAGCGACAAUCUUUGCUUCGACGUGUCGUUGCAGAUCUAGAGCAUUGUCGUCCGCGGGAAUUUUUACCAUUUCGAACGAAUCCUUGGUCCUGGUCAUCACCAGCUUCAAGAAAAUCACACAUACAAACACACCUACAUCCAAGUAAGUCACAGCCGUAGUUCUUUAUCUCGUAGUAUUUUCGGGGUCUCUGUGUGCUUUCGCGACCAAAGAAGAAAAAGCAGAACAUCCAGGUUGGCGUUGGUCGGCAAUUUUGGCGGCACUAAACAUGCGGCGAGGGGUUGGAGUAUAACGAUUGGGUUCUGGGGCAGAAGCAUGAUCGAUCUGUACAGUCGAGCAGAGAAACAGGAAAAUGUAAAUCUGUGUUGUAGUGAAAGAUAAAUUAUUGCUGUGCUAAGCUAAUCAAAUUAAAUCAAUUAUCCAACAGAGAAAAAACAUGCGAACAUAAGCAAAUCUUACCCAAUUAUGGAACACACAUACAUACACACACACAGACAGACAUACGGACAUACGGACGUACGGCCAGAACAUCUUUCCUUCUUAAAUAUAUUAUAUGAACACCAGUUUUUCCGAAAAGUAAACUACACAAACAAAAAUUCGCCGUAGAGGAUAGUGGAAGCGUGUGCCAUAGUGAAACGGAAAAGAAAAUCUCGUUUCGAGAAGAAUAGAAGGCCCUGGGGGUCCGCCAAAUUCCAAUUGUAAAGUUGUUAUCCACCUCUGUUACUUUCACCGUGGCACUCGUUCUUUUUUAUUUUUUGUUUAUUCUUUUGACACAGCAUACAAAUUUCGACAAACGAAACAACUCAACAAACACACACCCAAUACUACAUAUAUUUCAGUAAGUAAAAUUAACAAAAACAAACAGAAAUAAUAUUUAAUUACAGUUAUAUGAAGAUCAAGAUCAAUAUGGAUCGAUUUAAAUAUCCACCAUAUGCAAGAAGAAGCAGAAGAAACGGGGGAACGAAAUACUUCUGAUUCGACAAAUAUUACAGCGAGGGAAAUCUAGUGUUUAGGUGGUUAGGAGAGGAACAUUGGCCAGCGCUCGAGAGUUGUUUGUUCUGUUUAUUUUUUUUUUAUAUGCUUAAGUCGUCUCUGUGAGGCAAAAAACUAUUACAAUAGUACACACGAUCGAGUUUU